rnacentral:lncRNA from 1 species
GAGUGAUCUAUUGUACCAUUAUACCUGAGGCAUACUAAUAAAACAACAACGCCAUUUUUGACAUGACCGGACAGCUAACAAAAUGAACGACAGCUAACUAGGCACAUUAAACAUGAAAUACAAAAUCGUCACAUUUCACAACAUACCUGCAAGGAAUGGACACAAAUACAAGGAAAAAGUUAAUGAUGCCGUCUGGACUCCCAUACAAGUAUAUUUGCCUGAUAAAAAACAGUGCAGAAUGCCCUGAGAAAAUCAUCAGAAAACUCAAGAUGUCUGCACCUGAAAGAGACCCUCUCCCGCAACAAAGCUAACGGUAGCUGGGUUAGCCUUGCAAAGUUGCACUCAAACAUUAUCCCCAUUCACAUUAAUAUAUAUUCAUAUAAACAGCAAUGCAACACUCUGAGUAAACUGAGAAGUAAAAUAAUGGCUCCCGUUGAUGACAUCACAGCAUUAACACAAUUUAGAAAAUGAUUACAAUAAAAUAGUAUAUCAAAAUAACCUUAAAAUAAAUAUGAGGGAUUUUCGUAUAUUUUACACCUGUUACAUAGGCCUAUACAUUUUAUAUAGCAACAGCAGGCCUAUACCGUUAAAAGGAAACCAGACUUACCGGAUCCGUUGUGGAAUCUAUUGUUUCUUCAUCAGACAACUUGUCUUAGACAAGAAGUGUGUUGGCUGCAGUAGUACAGUUACUUUGUUUUAAGUGUUCCGGGAGUCGAAAUUCUGAGUCCUUAACGAAACACAAAACAUAAUGGACAAUUUAUCUUACUUCGGAUCUGAAACCUAAUAUUCCAGAUGUGGCUGGAGGAGUGGUGGUGGCCACUGCAAGGCAACUUUAAUACUGGAGAAAAUGGUCCAUUUUGACACAAGACAUCAAUCCAGACUAAGAAUUUACCAAAGGUCAGAUCAUAAUGAAUACGAGUGUUAUAUGGACAGAGUCGAACUGAUCUCAGAUCAGCAGGCCUACUCUGAUGGCGAAUUCUCUCUCUCCGAUCAUCCUUUCCAUAAUUUCAGAAUGUCAUCAGGUGUGGAGGUGUAACCAGGGUGUAGUGAUGUAGUAAAUUAAUGUCACCAGGUGUGGAGGUGUAACCAGGGUGUAGUGAUGUAGUAAAUUAAUGUCACCAGGUGUGGAGGUGUAACCAGGGUGUAGUGAUGUAGUAAAUUAAUGUCACCAGGUGUGGAGGUGUAACCAGGGUGUAGUGAUGUAGUAAAUUAAUGUCACCAGGUGUGGAGGUGUAACCAGGGUGUAGUGAUGUAAUAAAUUAAUGUCACCAGGUGUGGAGGUGUAACCAGGGUGUAGUGAUGUAGUAAAUUAAUGUCACCAGGUGUGGAGGUGUAACCAGGGUGUAGUGCUGCUGGAGCUUUAAUGAAUAAAAUACUAUGUGAUCUUAACUCACCUGUCCAUCGUCUGCUGUGUCCCUUGUGUCAUAGGUGGAUUUGGAGGCCUUC